UUUAUUUCUCAUUUUUCUUUUCUUUUCAUUUUUACCCUUUUCGUAGUCUUUUCAUUCUCAUUUCCAUAUCACACAACUAGUUCUUCAAUUAUUUUUUUCUUUCACACAACCAUGAUGCAUAUAAAAUGCAAUAAACUCACAUGUCAUCAUCCACAAUUUUCCAGGAUAUAAUUUUUAUUUACUCCAAACAUGCUCAAUAAUCCAACAACCAACACAAUAAUUUAUCUUCAAUUAAAUCACCACAAACAUGAAAAAAAAUUCACAAUAAUU
rnacentral:lncRNA from 1 species